rnacentral:lncRNA from 1 species
GUUCAUUUUCCUUUUGGAUGAUACUGAUGUUUAUUUCAAGUGUUCAGGGCACUCUUUACUCUGUCAUUCUGAGCCACAAUCCAGCCUGAAAUGAGCUCUACCAUUUUCAACACAUGGCUUCCAAGACUACUGGGAGUUCUUUCCAUUUCAGUAGGCCAGAAGGAAGAAAGAGUAUGGAAGAGCGUGUGACUUGCCUGACCAUAGAACACAUUAUUUUGACUUGAGUUUUGUUAGCCAGAGAUCAGUUACGUGGCCAUAUCUAAGUGCACAGGAUGCUAGGAAACAAUUCAGUGUGUGCCCAGAAAAAGAGGAAGAGCAGCUUUGAGGGAGCCGCUAGCAGUCUACGUUGUGUACUUAUUGCUUUAAAGUUUUCUUAAGGGUGGAAAAAAACAGGAUUUUUAUAUGCUAGCAUUGUAACUUAUAAUAAUAUUCUUCCCAAUUUAGGAAUCACACUGUCAGAGUACUUCCGUGACAUGGGCUAUCAUGUCAGUAUGAUGGCUGACUCUACCUCUAGAUGGGCUGAGGCCCUUAGAGAAAUCUCUGGUCGUUUAGCUGAAAUGCCUGCAGGUAAGUCUGUGUAUUGCUUAUCAUGUAAACAAGACUGAUGGGAUUUUCGGGGCUGGCUUAGAAACUCUGUUUUAAAAUUUCUUUUCAUUUUUCAGAUAGUGGAUAUCCAGCCUAUCUUGGUGCCCGUCUGGCCUCUUUUUAUGAACGAGCAGGCAGGGUGAAAUGUCUUGGAAAUCCUGAAAGAGAAGGGAGUGUCAGCAUUGUAGGAGCGUAAGCACCCACACUAUUUACUUUGCAAAAGGAAAAAAGUCACAGAUGUAUUAAAGAGAGAAAAAAAGUCACUUAUUUUAAAGAGAGAAUAUUUAGCUCCCGCUGGGAGCAGCGGUUCUUAAGGAGGGUUGCACUCCAGAGUCACCUAAGGAGCUCUUUGAAGAUGCACAUGUUUAGGCAAUUUCUACAUGUCCUGGUUCCAUAGGUUUGACUUUAAUUUAUAUAUUUAUAUGUUUAAUUUAGAUAUUUAUUUAAUUUUUGUAAUUUAGAAAAUUAUAGACAUAAUAAGGUGAGAUUGCAUCACAGUAAAAAGAAAAGAUUCGUGAUCACUACAUAAAGCCAUACUUUUUUCUUAGAGCGUUUCCUUCUUGCUUCAUCUAUUUGAUUAGAAUAAUAAAAUUGAUUAUAAUAAAAUAUCUAUCUCAUGUCUCAUAAUAGAAGGUGUUCUGUAGUUUCUAUUGUUGUUUACAACUUAAAUACUGGCUUUUGUUUAAGAUUUUUAGGUAAGAUUUUCUUUCCAAAGGUCAUUUCUAAAGUUAUUUACAUUAAAAAGUUAUUUACAUUAAAAUCGACUUUAAAAAAAGUUAACAUUUAUAUAUAUGUUAUUUUUCAUAAGCAUUUCUAAUGACCAUUUUUUUUGUAAUGACCAUAUUUGUUUUUAAUUUAGAGUUUCUCCACCUGGUGGUGAUUUUUCUGAUCCAGUUACAUCUGCCACUCUUGGUAUCGUUCAGGUAUGUCUUUCCCUAGUAUAGUCAACUUCUGAGCCUUUCCUCCUCUCUGCAGCCCCUGCUGUUCUAAUGCGAUCUAAUGUAAUCAUUGUGAAGUAUUUAAUUUAGUCUCUAAAGGAUAGGCAACGGUAAAGUCUGGUUUAGAAACACUCUUAACACAGAGCCUUUAAUACUGUCUGUUUUUUUCUUAGCUGUUUACAUAGGAUUUAUAAUAAACUUAAUAAUAUAUAAGUGGAAAAUAUAGGUAGCAAAAAUUUUAUUAGUAUUAGAGUAGUAUUAUCCUUUAAGUCAUAGUAACCCUAGUUAUAGAAACAAAGAGGCCCAAAAAUGUGUAAUACCCAGAAGUUAUUUCUCUUCACAGUAUGAUCCAAGGCUCUCUUCUGUUUAGUGAUAAUUCUGAGUCCAGGAUUCCUUCCAUCUUGUGAC